UACGAAGGGGGCUAGCGUUGCUCGGAAUCACUGGGCGUAAAGCGCAUGUAGGCGGAUCUUUAAGUCAGGGGUGAAAUCCUGGAGCUCAACUCCAGAACUGCCUUUGAUACUGGGGAUCUCGAGUCCGGAAGAGGUGAGUGGAACUCCGAGUGUAGAGGUGAAAUUCGUAGAUAUUCGGAAGAACACCAGUGGCGAAGGCGGCUCACUGGUCCGGUACUGACGCUGAGGUGCGAAAGCGUGGGGAGCAAACAGG
rnacentral:rRNA from 1 species